CCUGAGUAUAUUCUAAACAUGACAUUUUGAAUAAAUAAUAUAACAAAGAAUAAACUAUACAAUGCAAGUUAUGCCACAUAUAUUGUGUGGAGAACUUAUAUUCUAAAAUAGUAAUAUGAUGAUAACCUACUAAUCCAUUUAUCAGAUUGUAAUUAGGUAUUUUUUUUGAUACAGAAACAUGUUUCUUCAAUUUAACAGCAAACCAGAAGUGGAUUUGAUAAGUUUGGGUCAAACUUAUCAAUGUAAGGUCAAACAUUAUGACGUCGUCAAUAAUUCAGGUCAAAUUUGUUUAGAUAAAAAUAACUAGAGGCUCUAAAGAGCCUGUGUCGCUCACCUUGGUCUUGUGCAUAUUAAAUAAUGGACACGGAUAAAUUCAUGACAUAAUUGUGUUUUUUGGUGAUAGUGAUGUGUUUGUAGAUCUUACUUUACUGAACAUUCUUGUUGCUACAAAUAUCUCUGACUAUAAUGAACUUGGCCCAGUAAUUACAGUGGAAAAUAUUUUCUACAAAUUUACAAAAAUUUAUGACAAAUGUUAAAAAUUAGCUAUAAAGGGCAAUAACUCCUUAAGGGGUCAACUGACUAUUUUGGUCAUGUAAACUUAUUUGUAGAUCUUAUUUUGCUGAACGUUACUGCUGUAUACAGUUUAUCUCUAUCUAUAAUAAUAUUCAAGAUAAUGACAAAAAACGGCAAAAUUUCCUUAAAAUUACCAAUUCAGGACAGUAACCUAACAACGGGUUGUCCGAUCCAUGUGAAAACAUCAGGGCAGAUAUCUUGAUCUUCCCUGAUAAACAAUUAAACCCUGUCAGAUUUUCUCUUAAUGCUUCGGUUUUUGAGUUAUAAGCCAAAAACUGCAUUUUACCCCUAUGUUCUAUUAUUAGCCGUAGCACUUUUUGGUUGAUUGGCCAGGUCACGCCACACAUUUUUUAAACAAAUUAUCCCAAUGAUGAUUGUGGCAAAGCUUAGUUUAAUUUGGCCCAGUAGUUUCAGAGAAGAAGAUUUUUGUAAAAGAUAACUAAGAUUUACCAAAAAAUGGUUAAAAAUUGACUAUAAAGGGCAAUAACUCCUUCAGGGUCAACUGACCGUUUUGG
rnacentral:lncRNA from 1 species